GGCAAUUUUUCCUCUGGACAGGUUUUGAUAAAUCUCCCCCAAAGUCCAGGAAGUGAGGGCGGGACAUGCACUCCUCUGUGCUCACUCCUGUCCUAUCAGACUGCACCAUGAAAAAAGAUUGGAUGAAGAUACCAAGCACAGCACAGCCGACUCCGGGAGGAAGUAAAUGCAUAGUGAGUGAGGGCGGGCUCAGUGCUUACCUUGGACACGCCCCUACAUGAGCAGUGGAUGUCAGAAUGGGUGAGCAGCAGAACAGAGGGAUUUGUGAGCCAAAUGCAGAAACUAGACACAUAUAAAAGACAUCUAAACCAUCUCCAUGGCCUAUCACAGUUGGCGGGAGAGAUCAUCAGCAGAGGAUGGCGGAGGCUGAUGGCUACAUGCACGUUGGGCAUACUGACGGCCGCCAUACUACCUCAGCCAAGAAGUUAAGUUCCUGAUUUCAAGUUAUUUAAAUAUUGUUGAUAAAGUUAAUGGUUAACUGCUAAGCAGUUGUGUUUUACCUUGUUAUUACUACCUUAUUAAAGCUGUGACCGACCACUCAGUCCAUUCAAAAGGACAUGGAGUUGAAGAAAAUGCAUAUGCAAAUAAGGGGGGGCGGGCUUAGGCACCUUCCUCCGGGACCCAAAGUAUGACUGCCGGCAGGGAACACUCCUGCAGAGCGCAACUAAGGGGGUGAAUUACGGGACUUUACAGGUCGAAA